GGGAUUUUGUUUUGUUUUCCUCUACCCAAAGGUAUAUUUCCCAAGAGAUAUAACUAAAACAUUCAAUAAUAUUUCUUUGUAUAGCAUCCAAUAAUGCAAUGGCUGGAAGACAAGAAAGCGAUGGAGUAGCUGGGCGGGUGCACUGGAUAUUAUCAAUAAUUUUGAUGCUGUGGAGUUACCAGAGCAGUGGACAAGGACAAGGAUCUGUUGCUUACCAAUGUGGACUGAAGCUGAGGUCUAGAGGUCUCUUCCAUAUGUGGUUCAAAGACAAAGCAUUCUCCCCAGGGACAAGAAGUAGUGAAAGCAGUACUGAAGUUGAGAAUUCAGGUGUUUUAGAGUGACAUUUCUCAGGUACCAUGUAUGUCUGAGCAAUGAGAAUGUCGCCUUGCCCGUGACCUUGGAAAUGUUGCAGUGACCAAACCAUGGAGAUGCUGGGGCUGACUGCCAACAAACUGUACAGUGUGAGGACUGAGGACUCCAGACUGACAUCUGGAGGGCUGAGUAAUAGUCUUUGGAUGAGGAUGGCAACAAAAUCAGGAAUAAGCAGAUAAGAUUCUUCUGGUAUCUGAAAUGCAAAGAAGUCAAGAGCAACAAUAUAGGUGUGAGUUCUCUU
rnacentral:lncRNA from 1 species